rnacentral:rRNA from 1 species
GACGAACGCUGGCGGCGUGCUUAACACAUGCAAGUCGAACGGAAAGGCCCUGCUUUUGUGGGGUGCUCGAGUGGCGAACGGGUGAGUAACACGUGAGUAACCUGCCCUUGACUUUGGGAUAACUUCAGGAAACUGGGGCUAAUACCGGAUAGGAGCUCCUGCUGCAUGGUGGGGGUUGGAAAGUUUCGGCGGUUGGGGAUGGACUCGCGGCUUAUCAGCUUGUUGGUGGGGUAGUGGCUUACCAAGGCUUUGACGGGUAGCCGGCCUGAGAGGGUGACCGGCCACAUUGGGACUGAGAUACGGCCCAGACUCCUACGGGAGGCAGCAGUGGGGAAUAUUGCACAAUGGGCGGAAGCCCGAUGCAGCAACGCCGCGUGCGGGAUGACGGCCUUCGGGUUGUAAACCGCUUUCGCCUGUGACGAAGCGUGAGUGACGGUAAUGGGUAAAGAAGCACCGGCUAACUACGUGCCAGCAGCCGCGGUGAUACGUAGGGUGCGAGCGUUGUCCGGAUUUAUUGGGCGUAAAGGGCUCGUAGGUGGUUGAUCGCGUCGGAAGUGUAAUCUUGGGGCUUAACCCUGAGCGUGCUUUCGAUACGGGUUGACUUGAGGAAGGUAGGGGAGAAUGGAAUUCCUGGUGGAGCGGUGGAAUGCGCAGAUAUCAGGAGGAACACCAGUGGCGAAGGCGGUUCUCUGGGCCUUUCCUGACGCUGAGGAGCGAAAGCGUGGGGAGCGAACAGGCUUAGAUACCCUGGUAGUCCACGCUGUAAACGGUGGGUACUAGGUGUGGGGUCCAUUCCACGGGUUCCGUGCCGUAGCUAACGCUUUAAGUACCCCGCCUGGGGAGUACGGCCGCAAGGCUAAAACUCAAAGGAAUUGACGGGGCCCCGCACAAGCGGCGGAGCAUGCGGAUUAAUUCGAUGCAACGCGUAGAACCUUACCUGGGUUUGACAUGAAUCGGGAGUGCUCAGAGAUGGGUGUGCCUCUUUUGGGGUCGGUUCACAGGUGGUGCAUGGCUGUCGUCAGCUCGUGUCGUGAGAUGUUGGGUUAAGUCCCGCAACGAGCGCAACCCUUGUUCACUGUUGCCAGCACGUUAUGGUGGGGACUCAGUGGAGACCGCCGGGGUCAACUCGGAGGAAGGUGGGGAUGACGUCAAGUCAUCAUGCCCCUUAUGUCCAGGGCUUCACGCAUGCUACAAUGGCUGGUACAGAGAGUGGCGAGCCUGUGAGGGUGAGCGAAUCUCGGAAAGCCGGUCUCAGUUCGGAUUGGGGUCUGCAACUCGACCUCAUGAAGUCGGAGUCGCUAGUAAUCGCAGAUCAGCAACGCUGCGGUGAAUACGUUCCCGGGGCU